AUAAGUUUGACUACCUAGUGUGCCGGGAACACCGGUGGAAAUCCGGGGCUGCCCAGCAACCGUGAGUGGGGACGAAACCUACAUUGAUGCCACUGGCUCAUUUCGAUGAGCUGGGAAGGCGUAGGGAGUAGAAUGAACCACGAGCCGGGAGACCGACAUUAGGUAGAUUUCUUUC
rnacentral:ncRNA from 2 species